AGAGUUUGAUCAUGGCUCAGGACGAACGCUGGCGGCGCGCCUAACACAUGCAAGUCGAGCGAGAACCAGGGGCUUCGGCCCUUGGGGACAGCGGCGAACGGGUGAGUAACACGUGGAUAACCUGCCCUCGGCACCGGAAUAGCCCGGGGAAACUCGGAUUAAUGCCGGAUAGCCCCACAUCCCUGCGGGGAACGUGGGAAAAGGUAGCUUCGGCCUCUGGCCGGGGAUGGGUCCGCGGUGGAUUAGCUUGUUGGCGGGGUAACGGCCCACCAAGGCGACGAUCCAUAGCUGGUCUGAGAGGACGAUCAGCCACACUGGGACUGAGACACGGCCCAGACUCCUACGGGAGGCAGCAGUGGGGAAUCUUGCGCAAUGGGCGAAAGCCUGACGCAGCGACGCCGCGUGCGGGAAGAAGGCCUUCGGGUUGUAAACCGCUUUCAGGAGGGACGAAGCCACUCGGGUGAACAGCCCAGAGGGUGACGGUACCUCCAGAAGAAGCCCCGGCUAACUACGUGCCAGCAGCCGCGGUA
rnacentral:rRNA from 1 species